rnacentral:rRNA from 1 species
GGUUUGAUUAUGGCUCAGGUGGAACGCUGGCGGGAUGCUUUACAUGCAAGUCGAACGGCGGCACGGACUUCGGUCUGGUGGCGAUGGCGAACGGGUGAGUAAUGUAUCCGGAACGUGCCUAGUAGCGGGGGAUAACUACGCGAAAGCGUAGCUAAUACCACGCCGCCCUUCGGGGAAAGCGGGGGACCUUCGGGCCUCGCACUAUUAGAAGCGGCCGAUAUCGGAUUAGCUGGUUGGUGGGGUAACGGCUCACCAGGCGACGAUCCGUAGCUGGUUUGAGAGGACGACCAGCCACACUGGGACUGGGGCAGCCCAGACUCCUACGGGAGGCAGCAGUGGGGAAUUUUGGACAAUGGAAACCCCGCAGUCCAGCCAUCCCGCGUGUGCGAUGAGGCCUUCGGGUUGUAAGCACUUUUGGCAGGGAAAGAAACGGCUACGGGAUAAUACCCCGUGCAACUGACAGUACCUGCAGAAUGAAAGCACCGGCUAACUACGUGCCAGCAGCCGCGGUAAUACGUAGGGUGCAAGCGUUAAUCAGAAUUACUGGGCGUAAAGCGUGCGCAGGCGGUUCCGGAAAGAAAGAUGUGAAAUCCCAGAGCUUAACUUUGGAGCUUGCAUUUUUAACUACCGAGCUAGAGUGUGUCAGAGGAGGUGGAAUUCCGCGUGUAGCAGUGAAAUGCGUAGAUAUGCGGAGGAACACCGAUGGCGAAGGCAGCCUCCUGGGAUAACACUGACGCUCAUGCACGAAAGCGUGGGGAGCAAACAGGAUUUGAUACCCUGGUAGUCCACGCCUAAACGAUGUCAACUAGCUGUUGGGGCCUUCGGGCCUUGGUAGCACCAAACGCGUGAAGUUGACCGCACAAGAAUACAGUCAUGAAUUAAAACUCAAAAUUGACGGGGACCCGCACAAGCGGUGGAUGAUGUGGUUAAUUCAGUGCAACGCGAAAAACCUUACCUACCCUUGACAUGUCUGGAAUCCCGAAGAGAUUUGGGAGUGCUCGCAAGAGAACCGGAACACAGGUGCUGCAUGGCUGUCGUCAGCUCGUGUCGUGAGAUGUUGGGUUAAGUCCCGCAACGAGCGCAACCCUUGUCAUUAGUUGCUACGAAAGGGCACUCUAAUGAGACUGCCGGUGACAAACCGGAGGAAGGUGAGGACCAACGUCAAGUCCUCAUGGCCCUUAUGGGUAGGGCUUCACACGUCAUACAAUGGUCAGGACAGAGGGUCGCCAACCCGCGAGGGGGAGCCAAUCCCAGAAACCCGAUCGUAGUCCGGAUCGCAGUCUGCAACUCGACUGCGUGAAGUCGGAAUCGCUAGUAAUCGCGGAUCAGCAUGUCGCGGUGAAUACGUUCCCGGGUCUUGUACACACCGCCCGUCACACCAUGGGAGUGGGUUUUACCAGAAGUAGUUAGCCUAACCGUAAGGAGGGCGAUUACCACGGUAGGAUUCAUGACUGGGGUGAAGUCCUUCAGGUAA